CAAAGCCAAGGCAGCAAAAUGAAGCCAGUGAUGGAUGCUGCCACAUCAGCUGUUAACUUGAUAUGGUUUUAGUCCCUUAAUCACCAGCAGCUUCAGAUCCCACUGGAGAAAUGGACGACGGAACAGGAGCGCAGAGAAAAGGGCCUGCCACCUCCGGCUUACAGGAGCGGGAGCAGCCAUUCCUGGGCAAGAAAAAUCAACCCAAAACAGGACUUCAGUCCAUGCUGCUCCCACUGUCUAGAAUGCCCACCCCCAUCAUCUGUCUUCCUCUUCAACAAUUCUGCUCAUCUUCCACUUCCCCAGGUUCCCAUCUGCCCGUGUGGCCUGGUUCUUUCUCCUCCUUCCUUUGGACUGAGGGUGUUAGCAUCAUGUAUGUGAGGCCUCAGCUGAAGAG